rnacentral:rRNA from 1 species
GAAUCUUGCGCAAUGGCCGAAAGGCUGACGCAGCGACGCCGCGUGCGGGAGGAAGCUCUUCGGGGUGUAAACCGCUGUCGGGUGGGACGAAGGUCCUGGGGAGGAAAUGCCCUGGGGAUGACGGUACCGCCAAAGGAAGCACCGGCUAACUCCGUGCCAGCCGCCGCGGUAAUACGGAGGGUGCGAGCGUUGUGCGGAAUUAUUGGGCGUAAAGCGCACGUAGGCGGCUCGGUAAGUCUCACUGUGAAAGCCCGGGGCUCAACCCCGGGAGGCCGGGGGAUACUGCUGGGCUGGAGACAGGCAGAGGCUGGUAGAAUUUCGGGUGUAGCGGUGGAAUGCGUAGAGAUCCGAAGGAAUACCGGAGGCGAAGGCGGCCAGCUGGGCCUGAUCUGACGCUGAGGUGCGAAAGCGUGGGGAGCGAACAGG